AAUUACAAAAUUUCAACUAGUUUCAUAAAGAAUAACGAAAGAUAUAAUUGACUGAAUACAUCAAAAUGGAUUUCUAUUCGGACAACCCUUUCUGAGCGCUGAUUGGCUAAAGUACGAACACGAGAUCACCUGGAUGUUUGUGUUGUACACAAGACGUGAAAAUCUCUGGUUUGCCGUUGUAAAAAGCCCUAACACAACGUCUCUAACUCCCGCGGGGCUUUUAAUUAUUCAUUUCUUUUGUACGAGAUCAGGAAUAUCAUUGUGUGAAUAGCCAUCGUCGUCACGUUGCCGUCCUGUUUGCUUAAGGUUCCUAAUACCAGACCGUACAAAAAUACCAGACCGUAUAAAACCCAACAAAAAUAUCUUCUGGUUCCGGUUUCAUGAUCAACAAUGGCAAUGAGUGUGAUCAGUUGGCAUAUUGCCAUAACACAUAAACUUUUCAAGAAGCAAUAACUGUACCCAACAGGUAUGCCACAAAGCGAGCAACGGAAAUAAAAGGGUCGAUUAUAGCAAAGCAAAAACAACCCAAACACACCAACAAACCAUCAUACGGUCGGUAGAGAAGCCACAAGAUAAUUUCUGUUAGGCCUUGGAACAACUUAACUUGUUAACAGUUGUAACAACCUUGUUGAUAUUAUCAGACUUAUGUUUGUGAUGUUACUCUGAGUAACAUCACAAACAUAUUAUUCACCUGUGUACACAACACCAGCCCAGAAAAAAAAUAAAAAAGAAAAAAAAAAUUCAUAUUGCAAGAACACAUUGGUAUUGAAGAAACUAGAUACUGUUCCGAAAUAUCACUUACUCGAACCGUCCUGACCGCGUAGCUCAGUUGGAAGAGCAUUGGGCUAGUAUUCCAAAGGUCGUAGGUUCGAAUCCCACCGUGGCCGGGCAUAUUUUUCAAGCUCGCCCGGUGUGGAUAUGCACUCAGAGUAACAUCACAAACAUAUUAUUUACCUGAGUACACAACACCAGCCCAGAAAAAAAAGAAAAAAGAAAAAAAAAAAAAAUUCAUAUUACAAGAACACAUUGGUAUUGAAGAAACUAGAUACUGUUCCGAAAUAUCACUUACUCGAACCGUCCUGACCGCGUAGCUCAGUUGGAAGAGCAUUGGGCUAGUAUUCCAAAGGUCGUAGGUUCGAAUCCCACCGUGGCCGGGCAUAUUUUUCAAGCUCGCCCGGUGUGGAUAUGCACUCAGAGCAACAUCACAAA